UACGUAGGGACCAAGCGUUGUUCGGAUUUACUGGGCGUAAAGGGCGCGUAGGCGGCGCGGUAAGUCACUUGUGAAAUCUCUGAGCUUAACUCAGAACGGCCAAGUGAUACUGCAGUGCUAGAGUGUGGAAGGGGCAAUCGGAGUUCUUGGUGUAGCGGUGAAAUGCGUAGAUAUCAAGAGGAACACCUGAGGUGAAGACGGGUUGCUGGGCCAACACUGACGCUGAGGCGCGAAAGCCAGGGGAGCAAACGGG
rnacentral:rRNA from 1 species